UCCCGUCCCGUACGUGUGUUGAACGCGGAGGUGCCGUCCGUUCGGCGCUGGUCAUCGGUGAUUUGGAUCACGUUGUGUACGACUACAUCAUCCCCGUUCGUUGAACGCUUCCGCACGCGAUCUACAAAGGUAUGUAGAUGCAUCUCGUGACUCGUUGCUAGAUGAACUCCUAGAUGAUCUUGGUGAAAUGAGUAGGAAAAUUUUUGUUUUCUGCAACGUUCUCCAACAGUGGCAUCAUGAGCUAGGUCUAUGCGUAGUUCUUCUUGUGCGAGUAGAACACAAUUUGUUGUGGGCGUGGAUUUGUCAGCUUUCUUGCUGCUACUAGUCUUUUCUUGCUUCAGCGGUAUUGUGGGAUGAAGUGGCCCGGACCAACCUUACACGUACGCUUACGUGAGACCGGUUCCACCGACUAACAUGCACUAGUUGCAUAAGGUGGCUGGCGGGUGUCUGUCUCUCCUACUUUAGUUGGAGCGGAUUCGAUGAACAGGGUCCUUAUGAAGGUUAAAUAGAAGUUGACAAAUCACGUUGUGGUUUUCACGUAGGUAAGAAAACGUUCUUGCUAGAACCCUAAUUCAGCCACGUAAAAACUUGCAACAACAAUUAGAGGAAUGAUAUGAGGUCUCCGACAAGUUCUUCAGCUGUAAGAUGGAGGAAAACAGUUCUGUCAGUGAGCACAUACUCACGAUGUCUGGAUUACAUAACCGCUUGACUCAGCUGGGAGUUAAUCUCCCGGAUGAUGCGGUCAUUGACAGAAUCCUCCAGUCGCUUCCACCGAGCUACAAGAGCUUUGUGAUGAACUUCAAUAUGCAGGGGAUGGAAAAGACCAUUCCUGAAGUAUUUGCUAUGCUGAAAUCAGCAGAGGUAGAAGUCAAGAAGGAACAUCAAGUGUUGAUGGUCAAUAAAACCACUAAGUUCAAGAAGGGCAAGGGUAAGAAAGCCUUCAAGAAGGACGGCAAGGAGGUUGCCGCGCCCGGCAAGCAAGCUGCCGGGAAGAAGCCAAAGAAUGGACCCAAGCCCGAGACUGAGUGUUUUUAUUGCAAGGGAAGCGGUCACUGGAAGCGGAAUUGCCCCAAGUACUUAGCAGACAAGAAGGCCGGCAAAAAAAAGGUAUAUGUGAUAUACAUGUAAUUGAUGUGUACCUUACCAGUAAUCGUAUUAACUCUUGGGUAUUUGAUACCGGUGCAGUUGCUCACAUUUGUAACUCACAGCAGGAACUACGGAAUAGGCGAAGACUGGCAAAGGACGAGGUGACGAUGCGCGUCGGGAAUGGUUCCAAAGUCGAUGUGGUCGCCGUCGGCACGCUGCCUCUUCAUUUACCUACGGGAUUAGUUUUAAACCUCAAUAAUUGUUAUUUAGUACCAGCUUUGAGCAUGAACAUUGUAUCGGGAUCUCGUUUAAUUCGAGAUGGCUACUCAUUUAAAUCCGAGAAUAAUGGUUGUUCUAUUUAUAUGAGAGAUAUGUUUUAUGGUCAUGCUCCUAUGGUGAAUGGUUUAUUCUUUAUGAAUCUCGAACGUAAUGCUACACAUGUUCAUAGUGUGAGUACCAAAAGAUGUAAGGUUGAUAAUGAUAGUCCCACAUACUUGUGGCACUGCCGCCUUGGUCACAUAGGUGUCAAACGCAUGAAGAAGCUCCAUGCAGAUGGACUUUUAGAGUCUCUUGAUUAUGAAUCAUUUGACACGUGCGAACCAUGCCUUAUGGGUAAAAUGACCAAGACUCCGUUCUCAGGAACAAUGGAGCGAGCAACCAACUUAUUGGAAAUCAUACAUACUGAUGUGUGCGGUCCAAUGAGUGUUGAGGCUCGCGGCGGCUAUCGUUAUGUUCUCACUCUCACUGAUGAUUUGAGUAGAUAUGGAUAUAUUUACUUAAUGAAACACAAGUCUGAAACCUUUGAAAAGUUCAAGGAAUUUCAGAGUGAGGUUGAGAAUCAACGUGACAGGAAAAUCAAGUUUCUACGAUCAGAUCGUGGAGGAGAAUACUUGAGUCACGAAUUUGGCACACACUUAAGAAAAUGUGGAAUAGUUUCACAGCUCACGCCGCCUGGAACACCUCAGCGUAACGGUGUGUCCGAACGUCGUAAUCGCACUCUAUUAGAUAUGGUGCGGUCUAUGAUGUCUCUUGCCGAUUUACCACUAUCUUUUUGGGGCUAUGCUUGAGAGACUGCUGCAUUCACUUUAAAUAGGGCUCCGUCAAAAUCCGUUGAGACGACACCGUUUGAAUUAUGGUUUGGAAAGAAACCUAAGUUGUCGUUUCUGAAAGUUUGGGGAUGCGAUGCUUAUGUCAAGAAACUUCAACCUGAAAAGCUCGAACCCAAGUCGGAAAAAUGCGUCUUCAUAGGAUACCCAAAAGAAACUAUUGGGUAUACCUUCUACCUCAGAUCCGAAGGCAAGAUCUUUGUUGCCAAGAAUGGAUCCUUUCUAGAGAAAGAGUUUCUCUCGAAAGAAGUAAGUGGGAGGAAAAUAGAACUUGAUGAAGUAUUACCUCUUGAACCAGAAAAUGGCGCAACUCAAGAAAAUGUUCCUGAGGUGCCUACACCGACUGGAGAGGAAGUUAAUGAUGAUGAUCAUGAAACUUCUGAUCAAGUUACUACUGAAAUUCGAAGGUCCACAAGGACACGUUCCGCACCAGAGUGGUACGGCAACCCUGUCUUGGAAAUCAUGUUUUUAGACAACGGUGAACCUUCGAACUAUGAAGAAGCGAUGGCGGGCCCGGAUUCCGACAAAUGGCUAGAAGCCAUGAAAUCCGAGAUAGGAUCCAUGUAUGAAAACGAAGUAUGGACUUUGACUGACUUGCCCAUUGAACGGCGAGCCAUAGAGAAUAAAUGGAUCUUUAAAAAGAAGACAGACGCGGAUGGUAAUGUGACCAUCUAUAAAGCUCGGCUUGUCGCUAAAGGUUAUCGACAAGUUCAAGGGGUUGACUACGAUGAGACUUUCUCACCGGUAGCGAAGCUGAAGUCCGCCCGAAUCAUGUUAGCAAUUGCCGCGUUUUACGGUUAUGAAAUAUGGCAAAUGGACAUCAAAACGGCAUUCCUUAAUGGUUUCCUUAAGGAAGAAUUGUAUAUGAUGCAGCCAGAAGGUUUUGUCGAUCCUAAGAAUGCUGACAAAGUGUGCAAGCUCCAACGCUCGAUUUAUGGGCUGGUGCAAGCAUCUUGAAGUUGGAACAUUCGCUUUGAUGAGAUGAUCAAAGCGUUUGGGUUUACGUAGACUUAUGGAGAAGCCUGUGUUUACAAGAAAGUGAGUGGGAGCUCUGUAGCAUUUCUCAUAUUAUAUGUAGAUGACAUACUUUUGAUGGGAAAUGAUAUAGAACUUUUGGACAGCAUCAAGGCCUACUUGAAUAAGAGUUUUUCAAUGAAGGACCUUGGAGAAGCUGCUUAUAUAUUAGGCAUCAAGAUCUAUAGAGAUAGAUCGAGACGCCUCAUAGGUCUUUCACAAAGCACAUACCUUGAUAAGAUAUUGAAGAAGUUCAAUAUGGUUCAAUCUAAGAAGGGGUUCUUGCCUGUGUUACAAGGUAUGAAAUUGAGCUCGGCUCAAAGUCCGACCACGGCAGAAGAAAUAGAAGAGAUGAGUGUCAUCCCCUAUGCCUCAGCCAUAGGUUCUAUUAUGUAUGCCAUGCUGUGUACCAGACCUGAUGUAAACCUUGCCGUAAGUUUGGUAGGAAGGUACCAAAGUAAUCCCGGCAAGGAACACUGGACAGCGGUCAAGAAUAUCCUGAAGUACCUGAAAAGGACUAAGGAGAUGUUUCUCGUUUAUGGAGGUGACGAAGAGCUCGUCGUAAAGGGUUACGUCGACGCUAGCUUCGACACAGAUCUGGAUGACUCAAAGUCACAAACCGGAUACGUGUAUAUUUUGAAUGGUGGGGCAGUAAGCUGGUGCAGUUGCAAGCAGAGCGUCGUGGCGGGAUCUACAUGUGAAGCGGAGUACAUGGCAGCCUCGGAGGCAGCACAUGAAGCAAUCUGGGAGAAGGAGUUCAUCACCGACCUCGGAGUCAUACCCAAUGCGUCGGGCCCGAUCAAGCUCUUCUGUGACAACACUGGAGCUAUUGCACUUACCAAGGAGCCCAGGUUUCACAAGAAGACAAGGCAUAUCAAGCGUCGUUUCAACUCCAUUCGUGAAAAUGUUCAGGAUGGAGACAUAGAUAUUUGUAAAGUACAUACGGACCUGAAUGUAGCAGAUCCGUUGACUAAACCUCUCCCUAGGGCAAAACAUGAUCAACACCAGAAUUCCAUGGGUGUUCGAUUCAUCACAAUGUAACUAGAUUAUUGACUCUAGUGCAAGUGGGAGACUGUUGGAAAUAUGCCCUAGAGGCAAUAAUAAAAGCAUUAUUAUUAUAUUUCCUUGUUCAUGGUAAUUGUCUUUAUUCAUGCUAUAAUUGUGUUAUCCGGAAAUCGUAAUACAUGUGUGAAUAACAGACACCAACAUGUCCCUAGUAAGCCUCUAGUUGACUAGCUCGUUAAUCAACAGAUAGUCAUGGUUUCCUGGCUAUGGACAUAAGAUGUCAUUGAUAACGAGAUCACAUCAUUAGGAGAAUGAUGUGAUGGACAAGACCCAAUCCUAAACAUAGCAUAAAGAUCGUAUAGUUCGUUUGCUAGAGUUUUGCAAUGUCAAGUAUCUUUUCCUUAGACCAUGAGAUCGUGUAACUCCCGAAUACCGUAGGAGUGCUUUGGGUGUACCAAACGUCACAACGUAACUGGGUGACUAUAAAGGUAUACUACGGGUAUCUCCGAAAGUGUCUGUUGGGUUGACACGGAUCAAGACUGGGAUUUGUCACUCCGUAUGACGGAGAGGUAUCAUUGGGCCCACUCGGUAAUGCAUCAUCAUAAUGAGCUCAAAGUGACCAAGUGUCUGGUCACGGGAUCAUGCAUUACGGUACGAGUAAAGUGACUUGCCGGUAACGAGAUUGAACGAGGUAUUGGGAUACUGACGAUCGAAUCUCGGGCAAGUAAUAUAUCGAUUGACAAAGGGAAUUGAAUACGGGGGUUGAUUGAAUCCUCGACAUCGUGGUUCAUCCGAUGAGAUCAUCGUGGAGCAUGUGGGAGCCAACAUGGGUAUCCAGAUCCCGCUGUUGGUUAUUGACCAGAGAGUCAUCUCGGUCAUGUCUGCUUGUCUCCCGAACCCGUAGGGUCUACACACUUAAGGUUCGGUGACGCUAGGGUUGUGAAGAUAAGUAUAUGCAGUAACCCGAAUGUUGUUCGGGGUCCCGGAUGAGAUCCAGGACGUCACGAGGAGUUCCGGAAUGGUCCGGAGGUAAAGAAUUAUAUAUAGGAUGUGCAGUUUCGGCCAUCGGGACAAGUUUCGGGGUACCCGUUAUUGUACCGGGACCACCGGAAGGGUCCCGGGGGUCCACCGGGUGGGGCCACCUAUCCCGGAGGGCCCCGUGGGCUGAAAUAGGAGGGAACCCAGCCCAUAGUGGGCUGGGGCGCCAGCCCCUAGGGGGGCCAUGCGGCUAGGGCUAAGGGGAAACCCUAGAGGGGGCGCCCCCUUGCCUUGGGGAGCAAGCCCCACCCUAGGCCGCCGCCCCCCCUAGUAGAUUCCAUCUACUAGGGCCGGUGCCCCCCCCAUGGCACCCCUAUAUAUAGUGGGGGAGAGGAGGGACUUGACACACCAGCCCCUGGCGCCUCCCUCUCUCCCCGUUACGUCUCUCUUCCUCGUAGUAUAGGCGAAGCCCUGCUACUGCGACGCCCUGCAUCCACCACCACGCCGUCGUGCUGCUGGAUCUUCGUCAACCUCUCCUUCCCCCUUGCUGGAUCAAGAAGGAGGAGACGUCUCCCGUCCCGUACGUGUGUUGAACGCGGAGGUGCCGUCCGUUCGGCGCUGGUCAUCGGUGAUUUGGAUCACGUUGUGUACGACUACAUCAUCCCCGUUCGUUGAACGCUUCCGCACGCGAUCUACAAAGGUAUGUAGAUGCAUCUCGUGACUCGUUACUAGAUGAACUCCUAGAUGAUCUUGGUGAAACGAGUAGGAAAAUUUUUGUUUUCUG
rnacentral:lncRNA from 1 species